ACUGGUCUCCAUUUCUAUAACUCGAGAGCUUCGGUGAGAUGAAGGAGAGGAACAGGGAGAUGGGCUCGAGUCCGCCAACGGCGGAAGAGAUCUUCUGGGAUUACAGUGCUCCGAGAACUGACGCCGUCCACUCUUUAACUAACGCUCAGACCAUCACGAUUCACCAUUGUCACCCCAUCACUGCCGUCGUGACCACCGCGGCCACAUCACCGCCGUCGAAAACACUACCAUACCCUCAUCCUGCAAAAGAUUAGGGAGAGAAAAUAUAACCAUAGGUGUGUGGUUGCUUUUCAAAUUGGUGCAUUAUCAACGAAUGGAUCACGUCAGGUGUCAAACUUAGUGAUGCUUCAAAAAAAUUGGUUUAAAGAAAUGCAGAGGCUGCUCAGAAGGAAUUGAGGAGGAGAAGGAAGGUUUUGGCGUCGAAAAAGUCAUCUCAGAUGGCUGCUGAGGGCUUGCUGGCUCUAGCUCAGAAUGAGAACAAGGCUGCUAUUAUUGAACUUAACUGUGAGACUGACUUUGUUGCUCGAUAUCUUUCAAUACUUUUCUUUGGAGUUGGAGGCUUUUGCUCUGUUGGGUAUUUUUCCAAUAACUCAAAGGGCCGAAAGAGAAUUUCAAGCUCUCUCUUGCUCUCCAUGGUUGCUGACAGAAACAGAUGCUAAAGGGAAUCAGGACAUCAAAACUUGAUUGAUAAUCUGCAAAUCCACAAGGAUUUUGGCAACAUGGGUUGGA